AUUGAACGCUGGCGGCGGGCUUAACACAUGCAAGUCGAGCGGAGUGAUGGUGCUUGCGCCAUCACUUAGCGGCGAACGGGUGAGUAAUUCCCAGGAAUCUGCCCAUUAUCGGGGGACAACGUGUGUAAACGCACGCUAAUCCCGCAUAGGCCCUUCGGGGGAAAGGCGGGGACUAUUUGAGCCAUGCGCUUAUGGUGUAGCCUAGGUCAGAUUAGCUAGUUGGUGGGGUAAAUGCCUACCAAGGCGACGAUCAGGGGCGGGUUUGGGAGGAGGAUUCGGCACACUGGAACUGAGACCCGGUCCAGACCCCUACGGGAGGCAGCAGUGAGGAAUAUUGGACAAUGGGCGCAAGCCUGAUCCAGCCAUGCCGCGUGUGUGAAGAAGGCCUUUCGGUUGUAAAGCACUUUAAGCGAGGAGGAGGCUUACCUGGUUAAUACCUGGGAUAAGUGGACGUUACUCGCAGAAUAAGCACCGGCUAACUACGUG
rnacentral:rRNA from 1 species